AUGAACGCUGGCGGCGUGCCUAAUACAUGCAAGUCGAGCGAACAGACGAGGAGCUUGCUCCUCUGACGUUAGCGGCGGACGGGUGAGUAACACGUGGAUAACCUACCUAUAAGACUGGGAUAACUUCGGGAAACCGGAGCUAAUACCGGAUAAUAUAUUGAACCGCAUGGUUCAAUAGUGAAAGACGGUUUUGCUGUCACUUAUAGAUGGAUCCGCGCCGCAUUAGCUAGUUGGUAAGGUAACGGCUUACCAAGGCAACGAUGCGUAGCCGACCUGAGAGGGUGAUCGCCCACACUGAACCUGAGACACGGUCCAGAACCCUACGGGAGGCAGCAGUAGGGAAUCUUCCGAAAUGGGCGAAAGCCUGACGGAGCAACGCCGCGUGAGUGAUGAAGGUCUUCGGAUCGUAAAACUCUGUUAUUAGGGAAGAACAACUGUGUAAGUAACUAUGCACGUCUUGACGGUACCUAUCAGAAAGCCACGGCUAACUACGUG
rnacentral:rRNA from 1 species